UACGUAGGGGCCGAGCGUUGUCCGGAGUUAUUGGGCGUAAAGCGCGCGCAGGCGGCUUCGCGCGUUCCGACGUGAAAGCCCCCGGCUUAACCGGGGAGGGUCGUUGGGUACGGCGGAGCUUGAGGGCGGGAGAGGGUGGUGGAAUUCCCGGUGUAGUGGUGAAAUGCGUAGAGAUCGGGAGGAACACCUGUGGCGAAGGCGGCCACCUGGGCCGACCCUGA
rnacentral:rRNA from 1 species